CCCUAAGAGUGAAUGGGAUUCUCACUCUGCUUCUCAGUCUAAUAGCACUUGCAGUUGCAGACACAUUGUGGUAGAGUGUAGACAUCGUUUAGUCUCCUUCAGAGCAGCGUGGUGCUUCCACCAACCAUGUUUAAGAAGUUCUCUUCCGAGGAGGUCAUGGAGUUCGAUACUGAGCUGGAGUGAUGUUGAUGGGAGUAGUACCCUGAUUUGGAGCUUCUGUUGGACGAGAUGCUGCCGAAGAAAUCGCCUCUCAUAGUUGCGAAGUGGCUGGAAACUCAAAGAUUCCAAAGGCAUAUUGUAGCAUUGGAUUUUACUAUGGCAAAAAACAAAUUAUCACUCUUUUUCCAGUCAAAACCUCAAAAGAGUUAUGGGAUAGAAUAAUACAAUUCUACGUAAAAUUGAACAAAGCUAGCCAAGUCCAUCUUCACAAAGAAUUAUGUCAUAUAGAAAUGACUUGAUUUGAGGACAUUCUACAAUUCUUAGAAACCUAGCAAGUUACAUUACAAGAAGAUUGCCAUUGCCAGUUACACUUUUAUGAACAUCCAAUAACUUAACUUAACUUACUCAUUUGAUCAUUAUUUGAUACUUAGAGAGCCUUUAAUACAACACAAGGAAGACUUGAUGAUUUAACAUUUACUCAUUUAUUAUCUUAUACCUUAUAACAAAAUGAUAUUAAUAAUUCUACUAUAUCAAACUUAAAACUAAACUAACAAGUACCUUUUAUAGAAAAGACAUGUUUAUUAAAGCUUUUCAAAUCAAACCUUCGAAGAUUUAAAAAAUCUAUAGUGCUUAGAAGUACUAAUUCAAUUCCAACAUGGCCAUUAUUUUAGUCAAUCUCAUUUGAAAGUACUAUAAUUUCCCAUUACUAUGGCAUUUCAAGCUAGAAGGUAUCUAAAUAUUGUAAACAAAAAUGGAAACUAUGUUGGUUGAAAUCCAACUUAUUCUUGAACUCAUUCAAAUAACUUCUUAAAGAAAAAAUAAAUAAAUAAAUAAAUAAAUAAAUAAAAUCAUCUUUUAUGCCUAAUUGCAUUAAGUCCAAAAAAAUUACUUUUAUAGUUUUUGGACUCUAAAGCAAGUCAACAUAUGAUUCCAUCUAAGGCUUUAUUGUAUAAUUAUUAAGACCUUCAAAAUCCUAGAAUUAUACUUUUAAGAAAGAAUAACACUUAUUAAGCUAUAAGUUUUGGUUCUAUUCUUAUUUAAUCUAAAACAUGCCAAAUCCUAUUAAUUAAGAAUAUUCUAUAUAUCAUUAGUUUAACCAAAUAUCUUCUUUCAAUUGUAUAGAUAACUAUUGGUACUAUUAUAUAAUAGUAAUUGUAUAAAUAACUACUAGUAAUUAUAAUUAUUAUUUUUAAAAAUCAUCAAGCUAUAAUGAAAACCAAUUUUAAGCCAUCAAUUAAUAUUAUAAUCUAAAAAUAAGAUAAUUUAUAUUUUUUGGAUAUCAAUUUUAAAC